rnacentral:rRNA from 1 species
CCCUUAGAUGUUCUGGGCCGCACGCGCGCUACACUGAUGCAUUCAACGAGCCUAUCCUUGACCGACAGGUCCGGGUAAUCUUUGAAUCUGCAUCGUGACGGGGAUAGAUUAUUGCAAUUAUUAAUCUUCGACGAGGAAUUCCUAGUAAGCAUGUGUCAUCAGCCCGUGCUGAUUACGUCCCUGCCCUUUGUACACACCGCCCGUCGCUCCUAUCGAUUGAGUGAUCCGGUGAAUUAUUCGGACUGUAACGCAUUCAGUUCUGGAUGCAGUUACGGGAAGUUUUGUGAACCUUACCACUUAGAGGAAGGAGAAGUCGUAACA